AUAUCCCCGCCUGAGUCCCUUAGCGGAUUUUCCCCAUCCGAGUCCGGAUUUUUUAUACGAAGUAUCCUUUGUGCAUAGUUUGCUGUAUUGGUAUAUUCCCCAAUACAUGCAUCUUUGCGUCAGCUCGAGUCUUUCCAUUGAUUUAUUUUUAUGGAAUCCCUCUCGUGUCUCCCAGCAAGUUCUAAGUCGUGACCUGCUCACGCAUUUUCC
rnacentral:lncRNA from 1 species